CCUACGGGCGGCUGCAGUGGGGGAUAUUGCACAAUGGAGGGAACUCUGAUGCAGCGACGCCGCGUGAGGGAAGAAGGUUUUCGGAUUGUAAAACUCUGUUUUCGGUGACGCAACGAGACGGUCGUCGAGGAGGAAGCCACUGCUAACUACGUGCCAGCAGCCGCGGUAAUACGUAGGUGGCAAGCGUUGUCCGGAAUUACUGGGUGUAAAGGGAGCGUAGGCGGGAAAGCAAGUUGAAUGUUUAAGGUACGGGCUCAACCUGUACAAGCGUUCAAAACUGUUUGUCUUGAGUGGAGUAGAGGUAAGCGGAAUGCCUGGUGUAGCGGUGAAAUGCAUAGAUAUUAGGAGGAACACCAGUGGCGAAGGCAGCUUACUGGGCUUUAACUGACGCUGAGGCUCGAAAGCGUGGGUAGCAAACAGGAUUAGAUACCCUAGUAGUC
rnacentral:rRNA from 1 species